rnacentral:rRNA from 1 species
GAUGAACGCUGGCGGCGUGCCUAAUACAUGCAAGUCGAGCGAACAGACGAGGAGCUUGCUCCUCUGACGUUAGCGGCGGACGGGUGAGUAACACGUGGAUAACCUACCUAUAAGACUGGGAUAACUUCGGGAAACCGGAGCUAAUACCGGAUAAUAUAUUGAACCGCAUGGUUCAAUAGUGAAAGACGGUUUUGCUGUCACUUAUAGAUGGAUCCGCGCCGCAUUAGCUAGUUGGUAAGGUAACGGCUUACCAAGGCAACGAUGCGUAGCCGACCUGAGAGGGUGAUCGGCCACACUGGAACUGAGACACGGUCCAGACUCCUACGGGAGGCAGCAGUAGGGAAUCUUCGGCAAUGGGCGAAAGCCUGACGGAGCAACGCCGCGUGGGUGAUGAAGGUCUUCGGAUCGUAAAGCUCUGUUAUUGGGGAAGAACAAAUGUGUAAGUAACUAUGCACGUCUUGACGGUACCUAAUCAGAAAGCCACGGCUAACUACGUG